AUUGAACGCUGGCGGCAGGCUUAACACAUGCAAGUCGAGCGGUAGCACAAGAGAGCUUGCUCUCUGGGUGACGAGCGGCGGACGGGUGAGUCAUGUCUGGGAAACUGCCUGAUGGAGGGGGAUAACUACUGAAAACGGUAGCUAAUACCGCAUAACGUCGCAAGACCAAAGAGGGGGACCUUCGGGCCUCUUGCCAUCAGAUGUGCCCAGAUGGGAUUAGCUAGUAGGUGGGGUAAUGGCUCACCUAGGCGACGAUCCCUAGCUGGUCUGAGAGGAUGACCAGCCACACUGGAACUGAGACACGGUCCAGACUCCUACGGGAGGCAGCAGUGGGGAAUAUUGCACAAUGGGCGCAAGCCUGAUGCAGCCAUGCCGCGUGUGUGAAGAAGGUCUUCGGGUUGUAAAGCACUUUCAGCGAGGAGGAAGGUGGUGAACUUAAUACGUUCAUCAAUUGACGUUACUCGCAGAAGAAGCACCGGCUAACUCCGUG
rnacentral:rRNA from 1 species